CGUAUAGCUCAGUAACACGUGGCCAAACUACCCUACAGACAGGAACAACCUCGGGAAACUGAGGCUAACACCUGAUACGCGUUGACUGUUUGAAGACGUCGACGUUCAAACGCUCCGGCGCUGUAGGAUGUGGCUGCGGCCGAUUAGGUAGACGGUGGGGUAACGGCCCACCGUGCCGAUAAUCGGUACGGGUUGUGAGAGCAAGAGCCCGGAGACGGAAUCUGAGACAAGAUUCCGGGCCCUACGGGGCGCAGCAGGCGCGAAACCUUUACACUGCACGCCAGUGCGAUAAGGGAACCCCGAGUGAAAGGGCAUAUCGCCCUUUCUUUUCUGAACCGUAGGGAGGUUCAGGAACAAGAGCUGGGCAAGACCGGUGCCAGCCGCCGCGGUAAUACCGGCAGCUCAAGUGAUGACCGAUUUUAUUGGGCCUAAAGCGUCCGUAGCUGGCCGCGCAAGUCUGUCGGGAAAUCCACCCGCUUAACGGGUGGGCGUCCGGCGGAAACUGUGCGGCUUGGGACAGGAAGGCUCGAGGGGUACGUUCGGGGUAGGAGUGAAAUCCCGUAAUCCUGAACGGACCACCGAUGGCGAAAGCACCUCGAGAGGACUGAUCCGACAGUGAGGGACGAAAGCUGGGGUCUCGAACCGGAUUAGAUACCCGGGUAGUCCCAGCCGUAAACGAUGUUCGCUAGGUGUGACACUCACUACGAGUGAGUGUUGU
rnacentral:rRNA from 1 species